GCGGCGUUUCUUGUUUCCUCUAUACAUGGACAAACAACUAUGCCAUGGGAAUUGCGUUACCAUGCCUACUUCAUGAACGAGAUUGAGUCAUGGAUUGUGAUUGCUGCAGACUGGGUGGCAGUUUUAGUUUGUUCAUUGGCCAUUGCUGGCUUGCUUCAUAGCUCACGAUCUCAUCGACAAUGGCUUUGGUCCUCCUGCUGCAUUGGUGUUUUGCUAGCGGUUUUCUGGUUAUAUAAUA